rnacentral:misc_RNA from 1 species
UUGAUUUUUUUAAUAAUACUCAGACUAUAGGUAAGAGUUUGUAUCCUUCGGCAGGCACACGCCCGCAAAGAGCCGACGGUUCCGGAAGGAACGUCCUGCCGAAGCAACAGGUAAAUACACAAAGGGUGGGAGGUAGAUCUUGCGAUCCGACACUCGGUAAUGAUCCUUCCGCAGGUUCACCUACGGAAA